GGAAUAAUUUCAGUAGGAUUGGCACCAGCUCUUCUUUAUAUGUCUGGUAGAAUUUGGCUGUGAAUCCAUCUGGUCCAGGGCCUUUUCUGGGGCUCCAUGGUUCCUAGAGGCAAGGAAGAAGAGCCACCAGUCAAAUAGGUUUCAGCACCUCCAACUCCAACAUCUUCAAAGCAGCGACUGGGAAGAAAAAUAAUCCUUCUGACAACACAUAUUCAGACACAUAUGGUCAGCCUCAUGAAGCUCUGGAUACCCAUGCUCAUGACAUUCUUCUGUACGGUGCUACUGUCUGUGCUGGGAGAAAUGAGGAAGAAAAGAUAUGACAGGAAGGAAUUGUUACUUGAAGAAUGCUGGGGAAAGCCAAAUGUCAAAGAAUGUACCAAUAAGUGUUCUAAAGCCUUUAGAUGUAAAGACAAAAAUUACACAUGCUGCUGGACCUAUUGUGGAAACAUCUGCUGGAUAAACGUCGAAACCAGUGGAGAUUACUAAAACCGUAGCUUCCCACCAGGCUGCCACCUGUGUGGGCUGGGAAAUGUUUAAGAGGUCUCAUAGUAGUACCCUGUGGCUACUUUUAGGAACACCAGUCUAUUUUUACUGAGAGCUGGACAACAGCAAACACUUGACAAAUAAACUUAUUUACCAGUA
rnacentral:lncRNA from 1 species